rnacentral:lncRNA from 1 species
AAAUACCUGUUCUGCUCAUUGACUGGAGUUCAUAUCUCCAUUUGCAGGGGCCAGAAAGGAACUCUUGCUUGUACUUCAGCUCUCUAAGGCCUCAUUUCUGCACAGGACUGCCAGCCCACCACUUCUGGGAAGGGAGCAAACGGGAAAGAUGAGGGGAAGAUUGAGAGGUGCUGCAUGUAGCUGUAGCUUCAGCGUGGUGUGUGAGGUUUUCUGAACCAUGGGGAGCUCAGCUGGUAGCUGCAGAGUAGUCUUUGUGCCACACCACAGCAGGAGGACCUGACACAGCCAGCUGGAGAAUAGUUCUGAGAGACACACAGUGCAGCCCCAAUCUCUCUGUGACUGUGAUGAGUGUGAGCUACUCCAUGAAAGGUGCUGCUGGGAUAAGACCUUCAACUACUGCUGACAACAAAGGAAGAUACGGGCAUGUGGUCCAUCCUUGGACUGCAGAAGAGGGGCAGACACUUCCCAGAUCUCUCAAGCUCCACCCUGGCCCCAGUGAGAACAGGUAGAUGUGACAGGCCUGGUGCAGUCAGUGUUGCCUCUUCUCCCUUACUGCCAAUCAGUAUGGGAACGGACCUGCAGCAGCAUUGAUGUGGAUGAACAUCUGAGUUUAAGCUGUUUUAGGGGGUGAGCAGGCACAGUGCAAAGCCACACACAGUCACUGUGUG